rnacentral:rRNA from 1 species
GACGAACGCUGGCGGCGUGGAUUAGGCAUGCAAGUCGAACGGAACUUCUCUUGGUGGCAACAUCUUGGGUUGUUUAGUGGCGAACGGGUGAGUAACACGUGAGGAACCUGCCCCGGAGACCGGGAUAACAGAAGGAAACUUCUGCUAAUACCGGAUGUCCCCAUCGUGCCGCAUGGUGUGGUGAGGGAAAUGGGUUUCCGCUUCGGGAGGGUCUCGCGGCCUAUCAGCUUGUUGGUGGGGUAAUGGCCUACCAAGGCGUCGACGGGUAGCUGGUCUGAGAGGACGAUCAGCCACACUGGGACUGAGACACGGCCCAGACUCCUACGGGAGGCAGGCAGUGGGGAAUCUUGCGCAAUGGGCGAAAGCCUGACGCAGCAACGCCGCGUGCGGGAUGAAGGCCUUCGGGUUGUAAACCGGCUUUCUAGCAGGACGAAAUUAGACGGUACCUGCAGAAGAAGACCCGGCCAACCUACGUGCCAGCAGCCGCGGUAAGUAUCACGUGUA